rnacentral:misc_RNA from 1 species
AAGUCGUAACAAGGUCUCCGUAGGUGAACCUGCGGAGGGAUCAUUAACACGUAUCCAAUACGUCCACUCUUCAAACCCCAAACCGUGAACCAAAUAUCCCCACUCGGAUUUAGCGACGAACUGUAAACCUCGGGUGAUAGAUUGAGUCUCGAUCGACAUUAGAGACAACAUCUGUUUACAGUUCUGAGUGUCCAGGCAGACUUUCGGGUCUGUUCUGAGAUGCAGUCGGUCUGUUGUGGUUGUAUUCUUUAGUCACCUGGCUUUUAGGCCAACCCUGUUUCGACCAGGAGCCUCUAAGCCUUAGUACUCCCAAUUUUAACCCCUUUUUGAAAAACUACUGAUUUUAUGCUCUUUUCUCUUUGAGAAAGAACAUAUACGAAACGCGAACAACUCUUAGCAACGGAUAUCUUGGUUCUC